ensembl:lncRNA
UUAUUUUUUUCCUCUGAGGUCUAUUAAUAAUAUUUCUAAAGUGUUUUUGUGCAUCUGUGCUACAAAGUCAUGAGCAUUUUUUUCCGCCCUUUCUCAUACGCUUAGAGUUAAGCAAGCUGUUUUUUGCUGCUGUGCCUGUGAGAUCCUUUGCAUGUGAACUGAGAUGAUGUGGUGCACUUAGAUAUAUAUUUAUAAUCAAAGCCUGAUUCACAAAAAUGUUUUUGUGAGUGAGACACUGAAUCAUUCACUCAGAUGAUUUGUUUAGGAACACUUAUUCAUUCAGGAACGAAACAGCUGUGUGUUGCUCAUGGACGUGUGGAAUAUAAAAGUGCGGGGGGUUUUGUUGUUGUUGUUGUUGUUGUUUUUUGCCUGAACAAAAAUAGACAGUGUAACUGGCAAUAUUUUGUCUAAAAUGUAGUUACUAAAUAUUAACUUAUGUUUGCUAAAUAAAUGUUUUUGUAGGUUAGUGUAAAAACUGUGGAGGUUGUUUUUAUAUUCAGAAGUUUAGAAAUUGCAGUUACUAUCAUCUAUAAAAACUCUUAAUGAUAUUAUCUAUUUUGUUUUUAUUCUGUUGAUAGAAAAAAACACCUGAUCUGUAGUCCUUUGCUGAAAACUCUGUAACACAUUGCACCUCAGGUCAUAUCAGACACCACCUUGACACCUGUCAAUCAUGAAGUCAGAUUCUGCGCUCUCUGUUUCACCAGGGCGUGACUCUCCCCCAUAAAACACACACCGUAUGAUGCACAACUUCCCUUUCCUGCCGACACACAGCUGCGUGUCUGAGGCUUGGCGCUCUGCUCUCGUAAAUCAAGGCUUUCUGCAGCAGCAGGAUCCAAUCAGACCCAGGUGGGGGCCCAGGAGGCAGCAUGGGGGCCAGGCCUGGGGAAUACAAGCUCUAUAGUGGACAUCAGAAGAGACUAAAGGCCCUGUACAGGAGAAAGUGCAGUGGACCUGAGCUGGAACCCUGAGGGAUGCCAACACACUGGAAGACCUUGGGGAAGAUCCAUCACUUCAGUGCUAACCUCAGUGUUCCAGCAACCAUCAGGUGUUCCAUUUGCUUCCCUCAGUGCUCCCUGGGAAAUGCGGUUUGCAGGACACCCACGCAAUCAGGAUACUCAUUUCACGCUGUUCAUGCAGUGGGAUUUAUGUCAUACAUUUCUCUCUCUCUCUCUCUCUCUCUCUCUCUCUCUCUCUUCUUGCAUUAAAGCUUGUUUCUAAUUACUAGUCAGAAAUCCAGCCCUUUUUCUGUGUCGGCCUCCCGGAACAGUCACUGGAAAUGACACCUGCGACGCAGCCGCGAUGGCUAUAAAAUGACAAAUUCAAAGAGGGGAAGGAGAAAAAGCAAGAAUUAAAGAAAAAGCAGGGGGUGAGGAGCGUGUGAUAGGAGAGCAGGGUUUU